GCCAGACUCCUACGGGAGGCAGCAGUGGGGAAUAUUGCACAAUGGGGGGAACCCUGAUGCAGCGACGCCGCGUGGGUGAAGGAGCGUUUCGGCGCGUAAAGCCCUAUCGGCAGGGAAGAAGGAGGACGGUACCUGACUAAGAAGCCCCGGCUAACUACGUGCCAGCAGCCGCGGUAAUACGUAGGGGGCAAGCGUUAUCCGGUUUUACUGGGUGUAAAGGGGGCGCAGACGGCAGCGCAAGCCAGGAGUGAAAGCCCGGGGCCCAACCCCGGGACUGCUCUUGGAACUGCGCGGCUGGAGUGCAGGAGGGGCAGGCGGAAUUCCUGGUGUAGCGGUGAAAUGCGUAGAUAUCAGGAGGAACACCGGUGGCGAAGGCGGCCUGCUGGACUGCGACUGACGUUGAGGCCCGAAAGCGUGGGGAGCAAACAGGACUAGAUACCCUGGUA
rnacentral:rRNA from 1 species